UAAUAAAUUUGGUCUGAUUCAACAUGUGCCAGGGAUAUUUCCAGUUGCAUGCAGGUUUUCCUCAUAUGUCUGUGUCCUCAGGCAUUUGGGUGGAGGGUAUACACACAGUGGUGGCUGGGUGGUGCCUUGCAGGUCUAUGGCGCUGUGAUUUUCUCUCCUCCUUGGUGCCUUAGCCGGUGCACAGCUAUGGGAGGAGGCUGCAGCUGGAAGGGGCAGCCUGCAGCUGGAACGCAGG